GGAGUCUGGGCCGUCUCUCAGUCCCAAUGUGGCCGAUCGCCCUCUCAGGCCGGCUACCGAUCGUCGCCUUGGUGGGCCGUUGCCCCGCCAACUAGCUAAUCGGACGCAAGCUCAUCCCGCAUCGAUAAAUCUUUCGUCAACGGCCCAUGUGGACCGCCACGGCUCCCGGCAUUAGCCGCGCGUUGGCACGGUUGUUCCGGAAUGCGGGGCAGAUUGCUUACGCGUUACUCACCCAUUCGCCGCUCGGCUCGUAUUGCUACGUCCUCGCUCGACUUGCAUGUAUAAGACACUCCACCAGCGUUCGUU
rnacentral:rRNA from 1 species